GGUAGGUCCCAAUCAGGAAACUGUUAGCGGUAUGUCUGGUCAUCUCUCAAUGUAGGAUGAUAACAUUUGACCAUUAUAGGCGAUCUUGUGAAUUACGUUAUUAGUGUAGGCUCAUAACCUACAAUUGUAGAUGAAAGGUGAUACCUUAUUCAUCAAACUACUCUAAAGGCUUGGGUGCCUUAAGACUUACACCGGCCAAGGGAACCCCUAACUGUAUAGUCAAACCCUUACCUAAAAUGGUUCGUCAGGGAAAUAAUUCUCCCUGAUAAUCUUGGACUAGGAUCUGUAAGGAUCGGUAGGAAUAGAUUUAUAGGAAUGUAAACCAAUAUGGAUUUAGUAUUGUAACAUCCAUAAAAAUUCACAAAAUUUUAAACCUUUUUAAAUUAUCCAAAACCAUUAUUUAUUACAGAUUGUUUUCAAAAUAAUUCCAUAACAGAGUAUCCCAGAAAUCCAAAUCCAAAUAUGAGGAAGUGUACGCCAUGCCUUCUCCUUCCCACGGUCAUCAGAAGUACCUGAAACAAUAAUCGAUAAAUGUAAGCUCGAAGGCUUAGUGAGUUAACCCCCAAUAUACUGAUACAAACAAUACACAUAAUAACAGGAACAACAUAUAAUGGGUCCACAACUCUACAGACUGGACUACCCCUGAGCCCUCAGUAUGAGUCUGACUUGCCCUCCCCGGCCCUAAGCCCAUAUCUGGUUUGAUCCCGAGCCCACAUCAUAAGUCUGGCUUGCCCUCGGGCCCACAACUUAUGUCUGGCUUGCUCCUUCAAUCCUCGAACUGGAAUAUAUGAUUAGCCCUCAGUAUGAGUCACGCAUGCUCUGCCCAGCCCUCAACUCGUAUAUGGAAUGCUUAUGAGUCCUCAGUAUGAGUCUGGCAUGCCUUCCCCGAUCCUCAACUCAUAUCUGGCAUACUCCAGGGUUUGUUGGCCACCGCACAGAGCAGAGCAGUGCAGCCUUAACCCAACCAACACAACAUGUCGACAUGUAAUAGAUAAGUGCACAUACAGAUAAUCACAUAAUAUCACAGGUAGUCCUACAGACCUACCAAACUAGCAUAUCAAACCAUACGUGUCUAACUCAUACCCAUCAUAAUAUCAAUCUACUAGGAUAUUAUAAAUCCAAUGGGCCGGCCUUGGUGCCUUAGACCCCUUAGUAUAGUGAGGACAACUCACCUCUUGCUGUCGACUGAACUUAAAGAUCAACUCCUGAAACACGGCUCCAAACACCAAACCUAUAACCAUCAAUGAUCCAUUUCCAUAAAUUCCCAAAUUACCAAAAUGCCCUCAGAAGUCAAACUGGUCAACCCUUGGUCAAGGUCAAAGUCAAUGGUCAAGGUCCACAGUCCAUGUUGACCCAACUCGUCGAGUACAACUUACAGACUCAUCGAGUUCCUUCAGAACUCAGAAAGUCGCAAAAGUCCGAGUCAACUCGUCGAGUCCAUGCAACGUCCAGGAGAUCGAGAAAACCCUAACUACUCGUCGAGUUCACGCAGAAUCCAAAAAACGGGAAAACCCGUCUCAACUCGUUGAGUUGGCUUAUCCAUCUCGUCGAGUUCAUGCAGUCCAUUUCUUGUCCAGACGAUUUUAAGCUACUCCAACGCUCCAAAUUGUAGAUCUAGCCUCCUAGGGUCGAGUUACCACGUAAAGUAGCAAACUUUACGUGCAUGCAAGGUCUUAAGUGCCAAAACUAAGCUAAAAAAGAAGUUUUGCAUAAAGAGAAGGUCAUAACUUGCUAAAGACUAGAACUUUAUGACUUCAAGGGGCUAGAGGAGUUUAGAUAUGAAGUUACAACUUAGUAGCUUCAGAUUAUACCUAAAACCAGAAAUAUUUCAAUGAUACACUAGAAAUGGUCCUAAUCCCAAGCAUGAAGAGAUGUAGCUAAAAAAGAGUCAAGGUAAUGACUUUUUACCUUCAAAAUGAUGCUAAGAUGGAGUAGAAAAGUAAACAUUGACAAGUCAAUGUUUGAAAUUGACACCUUAGGAAGCUUGCAAUGUGAUGAAGGGUUCUGGAUCUCAAGUCUCCCACCAAGCUACGAACUUCACUCUCUUCUAGGUUAUUCAAAGAUGGACCAAAUCAACACAAAUUUCUCCUCAAGAGCUUAAAGAUUCAAAAAUGAGGCCAAACCUAAAGAUUAAGGAUGAAUAUAUAGGGUGCACCACCCCAUUUUAGGGUUUCUAGAAGUCACGCGGACGCGCAACGUACGCACCCGGUGUCUCAAUUCGUCUCUAGCUAGUACACUAAGCGUACUACUCCACGAGCUAAAAAAUGAAACUUUGCAUUAAUGAAGGGCAAAAGUGAAACAUACCUCUAUCAGGGUGUUACAAUUUACCCCCACUUGAAUCAGACUUCGUUCUCGAAGUCUGCUAUGGAGAACAACUCAGGGUAAUGCUUUCGCAUCUCAGCCUCCGACUCCCAGGUCCACUUGGAGCCCCUCCUGUGCUGACAUUGCACCUUUAUCAAAGGUAAUUCCGUGUUAUGUAAUACCUUCGUCUUCCUUUCCAAAAUGGCCACCGGUCUCUCAACAUAGUUCAGACACUCAUCAACCUGAAUAUCAUCCCAGGAAAUCACCGCAUCCUCAUCCAAUACGUACUUUCGCAGCUACAAAACGUGGAAAGUGUUGUGAAUCUAAUUAAGCACCUCGGGAAGGUCAAAUCUGUAAGCAACCUUGCCAACCCUGGCAACCACUCGAAACGGCCCAUUAUAUCGGGGACCCAAUUUUCCCCUCUUUCUGAAGUGUAUCACACCUUUCCAAGGCGAGACCUUUAGUAGUAUCAUGUCGUCGACCUGAAACUACAACUUGGAUCGACGCCGGUCGGCAUAGCUCUUUUGCCUACUCUAAGUAGUUUGUAAUCUCUAUCUGAUCUGUUGAAUCAUUUUAGUGGUUUGAAGGACCACUUUGGUCCGCCCCAUAACCCUGUGACCAACCUCGCCCCAGCAAACUGGGUUACGACAUCCCCGCCUAUAUAAGAGCUCAAAAGGCGAAACACCAAUGCUGGAGUGAUAACUGUUGUUGUAAAAAACUCCGCAAGAGGUAGGUAGGAGUCCCAACUCCCACCAAAAUUGAUAUCACAGGCCCAUAACAUAUCCUCAAGGGUCUGUAUCGUCUGCUCACUUUAGUCGUCGGUCUGCGGAUGAUAAGUUGUGCUGAAGUGUAAUCUCGUGCCCAGUUUCUCAUGGAACUUCUGCCAAAAAUGGGAGGUGAACCGAACAUCACAAUCUGAAACAAUGGAGACCGGAACCCCAUGGCGAGCAACGAUCUCGCGAAUAUACACAUCGGCCAACUUCUCGACCGAAGAACUCUGCCGAAUCGCUAGAAAGUAGGCAUUCUUGUCAAUCGAUCCACGAUGACCAAAAUAGUAUCAAAACCUUUUGUCGUCUUCGACAACUUAGUGAUGAAGUCAAUCGAAAUUUGCUCUCAUUUCCACAUGGAAACCUCCAGAGGCUGCAGCUUUCCAUGCGGUCUCUGAUGCUCGGCCUUGACUAUCCUGCAGGUCAUGUAUCUCUCCAUAUACUAGGCUAUCUCUCUUUUCAUACACGACUACCAAUAGCUCAAUCGCAAAUCCCUAUACAUCUUGGUGGCCCCAGAUGGAUAGAAAAGCGAGACUUAUGAACCUCCUCCAACACAAUCUGUCGGACCCCUCCAAACAUCGGAACCCAGACACAACCACAUCUGGUAAACAACCCUCGACUAUCCGAAAAAAAUUUGGCCAUCUCACCCCGAUCCUCUUUUUCCUCCAAUUCUCUUAUGAACACCCUCGGCCUGAGCCUCCCUAAUCAAUCCCAAAAACGAGGAAUCCACUGAUAUCCUCAUACACGAUACCCCAACUGAAGACCCAUCAGACUUGCGACUCAAAGCAUCCGCCACCACAUUCGCUUUACCCGGAUGGUAAAGGAUCUCACAGUCAUAAUCUUUGACUACGUCCAGCCACCUGCGCUGCCUCAUGUUCAGGUUCGGCUGAUACAUAAUAUGUCUCGGACUCUUGUGAUCCGUGUAUAUAAAAAUACAUAAACAUAUAUAUAAAAAAGCUUAAAAAAUAUACAAAUAUGUAAUACAUAAAAAAUAACACAUAAAAAUAAAUGAAAAAUAUGUAAAAUACUUAAAAAAUAGAUAUAAAUACGUAAUACAUAAAGAAUAACACAUAAAAAUAUGUAAAAUACUUAAAAAUACGUAAAAAAAAUACGUUUAUACAUUUAAAAUACGUAAAAGUAUACAUAUAGACACUUAAAAAAUACAUAAAAGUCUCAUUAUUUCGGAAAAAUUAACAAUUUGGUCUCAUGACUAGCUGAAUAGGUCAAAAAAAAAAGGCUAAAAUGAAUAAAUUAGUCGGCUUCUUGACUUUUCUAUUAAAAAAAGUUAAAAAGUCAGGAACUUUUCUGCUUAAAAAAUAAAAUUUAGGACUUUAUUAAAAAAUUUCCGAAAAUAUUGGAUCUUUUAUGGAGAUUUCCCUUCAUCAUAUUGAUGGCACAAAACCCCCUGCACAAACGGACCAAACUAUGAUGUCGGUGAAAAACUUGAACUGCAACCUUUCUGGUCCUUUGAGGAGGUUUGCAAGUUAGCUUCUAAGAUUGAGAAGCGUGCCAAGACUAAGACAGAAUAGACAACCCCAAGUCAUUUUCAAAGUAUAUCAGUUCUUUCCAUAAUCCUUUCUACAAAGAAAACCUUUCAAAAGGUGAAAGCUCAAAGCAAGACCCAGGUCUUGCUGUCGAAGAAAUGCUUCAAAUGUCGGUAUAGAAGUAGGAGAAGACGAGAUGCCAAUCUAUAAUGAAGAAUGUUACUUUGAGGAGAGAGUUAAACCUGAUCAAUGAGUAAAUUACACGAAUGGUCCUUGUGGUUUGGGGUAAUUUGCACGUUUAGUUCCUAACUUAUUUUUUUUAACUCGAAAGAUCCCUAUUAUUUGUUUUUGUUACGCGCUUGGUCCAUACAAUUUGUUUUUGUUAUGCGCUUUGUCCUUGUCUUACCUAAAAAGACUAUUAUUUAAAUAGGAAAAAUUGUGGGAUAGGUAAGGUAAGGUGGGGGGGGGGGGGGGGGGGUGAGGUUAGGGUUGUGUUUAUUUAAAUAAAUUAAAAAAUGAAAGGGAAAAUAGUCUUUUUAGUUAAGAUAGGGACCAAGCGUGUAACAAAAAUAAACAAUAGGGACCUUCCGAGUUAAAAAAAUUAGUUAGGGACCAAACGUGCAAAUUAUCCUAAACCAUAGGGACCAUUCCUGUAAUUUACUCGGAGCUUCUAGUGAUAUGAAGAGCUCUCCAUAUGCAAAAGAGGCGGAUCCUAAUGAUGAACAAAGAGAGCAAAUAUUCCAUUCAAGGUGCAUAAUCAAGGGAAUGUAUGCAACCUUAUUAUUGAUGGUGGUAGUUGUACUAAUGUUGGAUCCACAACUCUUAUCAAUAAACUCAUUAUUCCAAUCUCAUCUCACUUUAAUCCAUACAAGCUUCAAUGGUUAAACCAGGGAUCUAAUGUAAAGGUAACCAAACAGACCUUACUCUCAUUUCUAUUAGCAAGUUUUAUCAAAAUCAAAUUCUUUAAAAUAGCUUGGCAAUAUGAUAGACAUAUUUGGGACAAUGGUCAUCAAAACACCUACUCUUUUGUCAAGAAUAAGAAAAAGGUAAUCCUUGGACCGCUACCAUCUACCUUGCUGCAAAAGAACCAGGGUUAGUUACUCUAGUGGAAAAGAAUUUAUUUAUCAAUGAAACACGAAUGAAGAGAGCUAUUUCCAAAGAUAAACCUGUUUAAGUUUUGUUCAUAGUUGAAAAUAGGUUCGAUGAUGUUCCUUUUUUCCACUGUUGUCUGUCCGCUUUUGGAAGAGUUCAAAGAUGUUUUGCCUUCUGAUUUACCUCAAUAAUUACCCUCACUAAGAGGUAUUGAGCAUCAUAUCGAUCUAAUCCCAGGAGCACCGCUUCUUAACAAACCAAUGUGACCCCGAAAAGACUCGAGAACUACAAUGUCAAGUCCAAGAACUUAUUGAUCGUGGCUACGUGCAUGGAAGUAUGAGUCCUUAUUGUGUCUUAGCUUUAUUGGUUCCAAAAAAAAAAUAGGCCCAUGAGAAUGUGUAUUGAUAGUAGAACCAUCAAUAACAUAACAUGACAGACAAAUAUCAUUAUCCUAUUGCAAGAUUAGAUGAUAUGCUAGACGAACUUCAUGGUGCCAAUUUGUUCUCAAAAAUUAAUCUUUGGGAGUGGAUAUCACAAGAUCCAAAUGCGUGAAGUUGAUGAAAGGAAAACCGCAUUCAAAACAAAAAGUGGGUUGUAUGAAUGGUUGGUAAUGCCAUUUGGACUUUCCAAUGCCCGUAGUACUUUUAUGCGGUUGAAGAAUGAGGUUCUUAGACAUUUUCUUGGUGAUUUCGUAGUUUUAUACUUCGAGGAUACAUUUUUAUACAACAAAGGUGUUAAAGAGCAACAUUUGAAAAGAGUAUUUGAAGUGUUAAGAAGACAGAAAACUCUAUGGGAAGUCUGAGAUGUAUGAUUUCUUUUCUCCCAAGGUGAUCUUUCUCGGUUAUGUUGUAUCUAAAGAUGGUUUUUCAGUGGAUGAAUCAAAGGUGGCAACAAUUAAAUCAUGGCCAAUACCUACGAGUCCAUUAGAGGUAAGGAGUUUUCAUGGCCUUUCUUCUUUUUACAGGAGGUUUGUCAAGAAUUUCAACACUAUUGUUGCACUCCUAACUACGUCAAUCAAACUAGGCUCUUUUGAGUGGACUUUAUCUUCAAACAUUUCAUCCAUUUAUUCGAGCUUGAAUGGUAAAAAAACGCUAUGUAGCUAAUUUUAGUGAGACGAAUCUAAGAUUUAUAGUAGACAAAAUUACAAAAAUGGUCCCUAUGGUUUGCCAAAAGUAACAAAGUCAGUCCCUUUUAAUUUUUUUUUAUGCAAAUGGCCCUUGUGGUUUGCAAAACUUGUACAGUUGGCCCUUUUUACUAACGUCGUUAGUAUUCAGUCGUUAGGCACCAAAGCUCUAGCCAACUAGGCUAGAGCCAAACUUGUUUUAUACUCCCGAAAAGUAAUUAAUAUUAUCUAAAAUUGUAAAUACAUUAAUAAUAAAAAAAACAUACUUUACAAAAAAAACUUUUUUUAAUAAAAAAAUAUAUUUUUAGCGCAUUGUAAAAAAAUUACAAACAAUUUAUUUGUUUUACAUAAAAUAUACUUUUUUAUGUAUUUAAAAAAAUAAAUUUUCGUAUAAUAUGUUAUUACAUUGCUAUGAUCCUAAAAUAUAUUUUUACGUUUUCAUAUAAAAAUACGUUUUUUUUCUUUCACAUAGAAAAAAAAAGUUUUUUUUUACGUAUUUAUUUUAUGUAAAAUAAGUUCAUUUAAAUAUGGUUUACCCAAAGUCGCAAAUCCAGUCCCUUUAUACUUGAAAAGACGAAAUGCCUUUUAUUAAUUCAGUCCCUAAUGGCUGAAUACUAACGACGUUAGUUAAAAGGGCUAUUUGCAUCAAAAAAAAUUAACAGAGACUGACUUUGUUACUUUUGGCAAACCAAAGGGACCAUUUUUUUAAUUUUGUCAUUAUAGUAUGUAUGACAAGAAGUUUUAUGCUAUUGUUUGUGCACUAGAUCAUUAGAGUCAUUACUUAAGCCUUAAACAGUUCAUCCUUCAGAAAUAGUUUGUCCUUCAUUCUGAUCAUCAAGCUUUAAAGCAUAUCAACGGUCAAAACAAGUUAGAACCAUGAAAUGCAAAAUGGGUAGAAUUUCACGAAUCAUUUAACUUUGUUUCAAAGUAUAAAACAGGAAGCUCUACCAUUGUUGCACAUUGUUAUAGAUGCCUUCUCAAGAAGAUAUGCCAUGCUUAGUGUCCUUGGGGCAAGAGUGCUAGGCUUUUCUUUCAUCAAAGAAUUGUACCUGAAUGAUCCAAAUUUUUCUAAAGUUAUUCAAGAAUACAAAGAUCGAGCUUGCGGUUCUUAUGUCAUCCAAGACGGGUUCUUUUCAAGAACAACAAAUUUUGCAUUCCUAAAGGAACCAUAAGGGAGCUACUAAUCAGAGAGAGGGGCACAUGGAGAAGGAUUGGUUGGUCAUUUUGGAAUCAACGAAACCCUUGUGUAUUGGCUACACAUGGAAGGUGAUGUUCCACUCUUAUUGAUAGAUGUGCAACCUGUCGUCAAGCUAAAAGCAAGUCCCAUCAAGGUUUGUAUACUCCAUUACUUGUUCCUUAUCAACUAUAGGAAGACAUUUCUAUGGAUUUCAUUGUUGUUUUGCCUUGUAUGCAACACAGGAAAGAUGCUAUAAUAGUUGUGGUGGAUCGUUUCUCCAAGUUCUUGAGUUACUUUUGGGAAUCGUUAUGGAAGUUAUUAGGCACAAGGUUAUUAUUCAGCACAAGGUUACUAUUCAACACUUACAACCUUGCUAAGAAGUAUGUUGAGCAAGACCUUGAAGGAUUGGGAAGUUAAACUUUCUUUUGUUGAGUUUGCUUAUAAUCAAUAUCCAUCUUAUGCCAAUAGAUGCACACCAUCUGGAGUGAACUAUGGAGCUAAUUCUCUCACCCCUAUUGGUCUGAUACAACUACCUAAGGGUAUUGAAGUUCACUUUGAGGCAACGACUCGAGCCAAAGAAAUACAAAAAAUUCAUGAACAAGUUAAAGCAAAGAUAGAGCAUGUGAAUGACCUUUACAAGAAAAAUGCCAACAAACAUUGCAAGAAGGCUCUUUUUGAACCUGGAGAUCUCGUAUAGUUGCAUUUAAGGCAAUAGGAGAUGGACCACUUAAGGUGCUGGAAAGGAUUAUAGAUAAUGCUUACAAAGUGGAGUUACCUGGGGACACAAUCAUAUCAACAACUUUCAAUGUUGGAGAUAUAUCUUCUUAUCUUGAAGAUGGUUCAUUGGAAGAUUUGAGGGAAAAUGUCGGGGCAUCAAUAUCAUUUUUAGCUAACACUAGAGCAACACAUUUCAUGUCUCCAACUCACCUUGGGCUUGACUCAGAUUCUUAUUUAGGUUCACAACAAGGGAAAUUGUCAAAAAAGUCUCAAUAUAUUCGGAAAAGUUUCACUUUAGUCCUAUUUUUUUGACAUGAAAUAUCUGAUUAUUUCAUUUUACACGAUAAUGUCAUUUUCUGUUAAAAGAAAAAAUGGACUUUUUUGUUAAUUUGAGCCAAAAUGAAAUAAACGGGACUUUUAUGUUCAAUUUUUUUUUGGAUUAAAGUGAAACUUUUCUGAAAAUAUUGGGACUUUUCUGACAAUUUCCCUAUCUUGAAGAUGGUCCAUUGGAAGAUUUGAGGGAAAAUGCUUCCCAACCAGAGGAGGUUGAUGCAGGGGCAUCCAUGUCAUUUUUAGCUAACACUAGAGCAACACAUUUCAUGUCUCCAACUCACCUUGGGUUUGAAUCAGAUUCUUAUUUGGGUUUUAGAACAUUUAAAAGGAGUAUGAUAUUUUGGCAGCCUAAUAAAGUUGAAGAGUCUUCCUAAUCAACCUCAUUAUUUUCUUAGAGUUAUGUUUUUUUCCAGCCCUAUAUAAGGAGCUCUAAGCUGUAGUAGGAAAACAACUUUUGAAUAAUAACAAAAACUACAAUAGCUUGUAAGGCUGAAUUUGAGUGUUCAUACAUGGAAGGAGUCGAUUCUUGUUUGUUGUUAGUGUGGAGUUGUUGCUUUAUCACUAAUUAGCAUCAACCUUGGCCAAUUGGGUUCAUCUUCGUGGUGUUUAAAGUACUUUAUUCUUCAACUAAUCAGGUUGCUUGUUCAACCCCUUUUCUUUUAUCCUAUUUUCACCCACUUAUGCAUAAAAAAUGCAAUGGUAUAUAAUGGUAGUUUAAAAAGAAAUGAAAGUAGAUUGCUAUGUUUGGGUAGAAUUUGAAAAAAGACGAAAAUGCAAUGGUGUACCUUGAAAAGAAGUAGAAUGCUAUGUAUAGGUAGAAUUUGAAAAAGUUGAAAAUGCAAUGGUAUAUAAUGGUAGGUUCCUUUUUUAUUUUUUUAUAAAAGAACAAGAAUGCUAUGUUUGGUAGAAUUUGAUAAAAAGAUGGAUAUGAAAUUGUACACAUCGGUAGUUUUUAAUAAACUGAAGUAGGAGCUAUAUUUGGGUUUUAUUUUUCAAAAUAGAUGAAAAUGCAAUGGUAAUUCGGGUAGAAUUUUAAAAUGAUGAAAAUGCAAUGUUAUAUAAUAUUAGUUUUAGAAAAUGAAAUAGAAUGCUAUGUUUGGGUUAACUUUGAUCAAAAUGAAAUGCAAUACGAGGGUAGUUUUAAAAAAGAUCAAAGUUCAAUGCUAUGUUUGUGUAGAUUUUAAAAAAGAUGAAAAUGCAAAUGCAAAGGUAUAUCAGGAUAAUUUAAAAAAUAAAAUAAAAUGAAGCACAAUGCUAUGUUUGGGUAUGAUUUGAAAAAAAAAAAACAAAGUAGAAUGUGUGUUUGGGUAGAUUUUAAAAAAUAUAUGAAAAUACAAAGGUAUAUAAUGGUAUUUUUUUUAAAAAAUAGAUGCACAAUGCUAUGUUUGGGAAUAGUUUGAAAAAAUAUGAAAAUGAAAAGGUAUAUCAAUGUAGUUUUUUUUUAAAAACAAGUAGAAAGCUAUAUUUGGGUAGAUUUUGAAAAGGUGAUAGUAGAGUGUUAUGCUUGAUAAGAAAUUGAAAACAUAUGAAAAUGCAAUGGUAUAUAAGGGUAGUUCCAAAACAACUGAAAAUAGAAUGCUAUGUUUGACUAAAGUUUGAAAAGAUAUGAAUAUACAAUUGUGUAACAAGGUAGUUUUAAUAAAAUGCUAUGUUUGGGUAGGAUUGUGAAAAAAUAUGAAAAAUGCAAUUGAGUAAAAAGCCAAUAUUAAUAAAAGAAAUUAGAAUGUUGUGUUUGUGUAGAUUUUUAAAAUAUAUGCAAAUGCAAUGGUGUAUCUUUAGUUUUUUUUUUAAAAAAUGAAAGUAAAAUGCUAUGUUUGGGUAGAUUUUGAAAAAAAAAUGUAAAUGCAAUGGUGUAUCUUUAGUUCUAAAAAAUAUGAAAAUACAAUGCCAUGUUUGAGUAGAUUUUGAAAAAGAUGAACAAACAAUUGUGUAACAAGCUAGUUUUAAUAAAAGCAAAGGAGAGUGUUAAGUUUGGGUAGAUUUAUGUUUAGGUAGAUUUUGAAACAUAUAAAAAUGCAAUUGUGUAACAGGCUAGUUUUAAUAGAAAGAAGGUAAAAUGUUAUGUUUGUGUGGAUUGUAAUAAAAAGAUGAAAAUACAAAGUAGAAUAUGAAAAUUCGAUGAUAUAUCAAUGUAGUUUGAAAAAAAUGAAAGUAGAAUAUUUUGUUUGAGAAGAUUUGAAAAAAAGAUGAAAAUGUAAUAGUAUAUAAUGGUACUUUUAAAAAAAUGACAAUAGAGUGUUAUGUUUGGGUAGAAAUUGAAAAACAAAUGAAAAUGUAAUGGUAUAUAAGGGGAGUUUUAAAAAAUUGAAAGUAAAUUGUUAUGUUUGGGUAGAAAUUGAAAACGCAAUGGUAUAAAAAGGUAGUUUUUCAAAAACUGAAAGUAGAAUAUUAUGUUCAGGUAUAUGUUGAAAAAAAGAGAAAAUGCAACUAUGUAUCAAGGUAUGUUUUAAAAAAAAUGAAAGUAAAAUGCGGUGUUUAGGUAUAUCUUUCAAAAGAGAUGAAAAUGCAAUGGUAUAUCAUGGUAGUGUUAACUAAAAGUUUAAUGUUAUAUUCGGGUAGAUUUUGAAAAAAAAAAUUAAAAAGCAUGGCAAUAUUAAGGUUUAGUUUUAAAAAAUUAAAAACAGAAUGUUAUGCUUUUAUAGAAUUUGAAAAAAGAUGAAAACGAAAUACAAUGGUAUAGAAGGGUAGUUUUAGAAAGAAUGAAAGUAGAAUGUAAUGUUUGGGUAAAUUUUGAAAAGAGAUGAAAAUGCAAUGGUGUAUCUUUAGUUUAAAAAAAAGAUAGCAAAAUGCUAAGUUUGCGUAGACUUUGAAAAAAAUAAGAAAAGGAAAUUGUGUAACAAGCUAGUUUUAAUAAAAUGAAAGAAGAAUGCUAUGUUUACGUAGAUUUUGAAAAAAGAUGAAAAUGCAAUUUCAUAACAAGAUAGUUUUAAUAAAAAGAAACUAGAAUGCUAUGUUUGGGAAUAUUUUGAAAAAAGAUGAAAAUGCAAUUGCGAUGCAAUUUUUGGGUAGAUUUUCAAAAAAGAUGAACAUACAAUGUUGUAUCUUUAGGGUUUUUUUAGAAAGUAAAAUAUUAUGUUUGGGUUGAUUUUGAAAAAAAUACAAAAUUGCAAUUGUGUAACAAGCUACGUUUAAUAAAAAUAAAGUAGAAUAUUAUGUUAUGAUAGAUUUUGAAAAAAGCCAAAAAUGCAAUAGUGUAACAAACUAGUUUUAAUAAAAAGAAAGUAUAAUGCUAUUUUUGGGUAGAUUUUGAUAAAGGAGAAAAAAGCAAGUAUUUUAACAAGAUAGUUUUAACAAAAAUAAAGCAGAAUGCUAUGCUUGGGUUUACUUUGAAUAAAGAUGAAAAUGCAAUUGUUUUUUUUUAGCUUAAAAAAAUGAAAGAAGAAUGCUGUUUUUGGGAAGACUUUGAAUAAAGAUGAAAAUACAAUUGUGUAACAAGCUAGUUUAAAUAAAAAGAAAGAAAAAUGCUAUGUUUAGGUAGAUUUUGAAAAAAAAUAAAAACACAAUUAUGUAACAACCUAGUAUCAAUAAAAAGUAGAAUGUUACGUUGGGGUAGGUUUUGAAAAAAAAAAGAUGAAAAUGCAAUUGUGUAUCAUAGGUUUAAAAAAAUGAAAGAAGAAUGCUAUUUUUGGGUAGAUUUUGAAAAAGGAUGAAAAUGCUAUUAUGUAACAAGCUAGUUUUAAUAAAAACAGAGAAAAAUGAUACGUUUAGAUGGAUUUUGAAAAAAAUGAUGAAAAUGCAAUGUUGUAACCUUAGUUUAAAAAUAUGAAAGUAGAAUGCUAUUUUUGGAUAGACUUUGAAAAAGGGUGAAAAUGCUAUUAUGUAACAAGCUAGUUUUAAUAAAAACGGAGAAAAAUGAUACGUUUAGAUGGAUUUUGAAAAAAAUGAUGAAAAUGCAAUGUUGUAACCUUAGUUUAAAAAAAUGAAAGUAGAAUGCUAUUUUUGGAUAGACUUUGAAAAACGAUGAAAAUUCAAUUGUGUAACAAGUUAGUUUUAAUAAAAAGAAAGAAAAACGGUAUGUUUGUGUGGAUGUUAAUAAAAAGACGAAAAUGCAAAGAUAAUUCAGGGUAAUUAUGAAAAAUAAAAAGUACAAUUCUAUGUUUGGGUAGGAUUUGAAAAAAUGAAAGAAAAUGCAAUGGUAUAUCAAUGUAGUUUUGAAAAAGAAAAUGAAAAUAGAAUAUUUUGUUUGAGAAAAUUUGAAUAAAAGAUGAAAAUGUAAUAGUAUAUAAUUGUACUUUAAAAAAAAUGAAGUAAAGUGUUCUGUUUGGGUAGAAAUUGAAAAACAAAUGAAAAUAUAUUCGUGUAAAAGGGUAGUUUUACAAAAACUGAUAUUAAAAUAAUAUGUUCUAGUAUGUGUACAAAAAAGGAGAAAAUACAACUAUGUAAAAAUUGAAAAACAAAUGAAAAUAUAUUAAGGUAGUUUUAGAGGAAAAAAUGACAGUAGAAUGCUAUUUUUGGGUAGAUUUUAAGGGUAUGUUUAAAAAAAUGAAAAUAAAAUCCGAUGUUUAGGUAUCUUUUUCAAAAUAGAUGAAAAUGCAACGGUAAAUCAAGGUAGUGCUAAAAACAUGAAAGUUUAAAUUUAUAUUCUUGUAGAUUUGAAAAAAAAAACCUUGAAAAUACAAGCCAAUAUUAGGGUUUUUUUUAAAAAUAAAAAUAAAAACAUAAUGUUAGGUUUAUGUAGAUUUUGAAAAAAGAUGAAAAUGCAAUUGUGUUGUAACAAGCUAGUUUUAAUAAAACAAAGAAAAAUGUUAUGUUUAAAUAGAUCUUGAAAAAGUUCAAAAUUCAGUUAUCUAACAAGCUAGUUUUAAUAAAAAGAAGUAGAGCGCGUUGUUUGGGUAGAUUUUGAAAAAAAAAAAUACAAAAAUGCAAUUGUGUGCCAAGCUAUUUUUAAUAAAAAGAAAAUAGAAUGCUAAUUUUGUGUAUAUUUUGAAUAAGGAUGAAAAUGUAAUGACGUAUCUUUAGUUUAAAAAAACGAAAGUAGAAUCAUAUGUUUGGAUAGAUUUUGAAAAAAGAUGAAAAUGCAAUAGUGUAACAAGCUAUUUUUAAUAAAAAGAAAGUAGAAUGCUCUGUUUUGGUAGAUUUUGAAAAAAGAGUAAACCGCAAUGUUGUAUCUUUAAAUUUAAAAAAAAUGAAAGUAGAACGCUAUUUUUGGGUAGACUUUAAAAAAAAUGAAAAUGCAAUUGUGUAAGAUGCUAGUGUUUAAAUAAAAAGAAAGAAAAUGCUAUGUUUAGGUAGAUUUUGAAAAAAAAAAUGAAAAUCCAACUAUCUAACAAGCUAGUUUUAAUAAAAAUUAGAAUGCUAUGUUUGGAUAGUUUUUGAAUAAAAGAUGAAAAUCCAAUUUUGUAAAAAACUAUUUUUAAUAAAAAGAAAAUUUAAUGCAAUGUUUGGGUAGUUUUGAAAAAAAAAGAUGAAAUUGAAAUAGUAACAAGCUAGUUUUAAGAAAAAAAAGUAGAUUGCUAUGUUUUGGUAGAGUUGUUAAAAAGAAAAAAAAACGAAAAAGCAAUUGUGGAACAAGCUAGUUUAAAUAAAAAGAAAGAAAAAAGCUAUGUUUAUGUAGAUUUAAAAAAAAUGAAAAUUCAAAUAUGUAAUAAGCAAGUUUUCAUAAAAAGAAGUAGAAUGCUAUGUUUGGGUACAUUUUGAAUAAAAGAUGAAAAUGCAAUUGUGUAGAAAGGUAGUUUUAAUAAAAAGAAAAUAGAAUGUAAUGUUUGAGUAGAUUUUGAAAAAAAAUAUAUGAAAAUGCAAGCUAGUUUUUGGGUAGAUUUACAACAUUCUAAAAAUGCAAUUAUGUAACAAGCUAGUUUUGAUAAAAAGAAAGUAGAAUGCUAUGUUUCAAUAGAUUUUGAAAAAUGAUGAAAGUGCAAUUGUGUAACAAGCCAGUUUUGAUAAAAAGAAAGAAAAAUAUUAUGUUUGUGUGGAUUUUAAUAAAAAGAUGAAAAUGCAAAGGUAAUUAAGUGUAAUUAUGAAAACUACAAACUACAAUUCGAUGUUUGAUUUGAAAAAUAUGAAAAUGCAAUGGUAUAUCAAUGUAGUUUUGAAAAGAAAAAUGAAAGUAGAAUAAUGGUACUUUUAAAAAAAUGAUAAUAGAGUGCAUUGGUAUAUAAGGGUGGUUUUAAAAUAAAUGAAAAUAGAUUGUUAUGUUUGGGUAGAAAUUGAAUAUACAGAUGAAAAGGCAAUGGUAUUAAAGUGUAGUUUUUUUAAAAAAUGAAAGUAAAAUGCAAUGUCUAGGUAUAUUUUUUCAAAAAAGUUGAAAAUGCAAUGGUAUAUUCAGGUAGAUUUUGAAAGAAAAAAGAAACUUUAAAAUACAAGGCAAUAUCAGGGGCUGUUUUAAAUAAAAUAAAAACAUAAUUCUAUGUUUAGAAAGAAUGAAAAUAGAAUGUAAUGUUUGGGUAAAUUUUGAAAAAGAUGAAAAUGCAAUUGUAUAACAAACGAGUUUUAAUAAAAAUAAAAGUAGAAAGCUAUGUAUACCUAGAUUUUGGAAAAAGAUGAAAAUGCAAUGAUGCAUCUUUAGUUUAAAAAAAAUGAAAGUGGAAUGUUAUGUUCAUGUAGAUUUUUAAAUUAGAUGAAAAUGUAAUUGUGUAACAAGCUAAUUUUAGUAAAAAAAAAAUUAAAAUGCUAUGUUUUCGUGGUUUUUGAAAAUAGAUGAAAAAGCAAUGGUGGAUUUUUAGUUAGAUUUUCAAAAAAAAUAAAAACACGAUUAUGUAACAAGCUAGUUUCAAUAAAAAGAAAAUAGAUUGCUAUGUCAAGGUAGAUUUUGAAAAAAAAAAAUGAAAAUGCAAUUAUUUAAAAAGCAAGUUUUAAAAAAAUAGAUUGUAAACUUCGGGUAGAUUUUGAAAAAAGAUGAAAAUGCAUUUGUGUAACUUAAGUUUUAAAAAAACGAAAGAAGAAUGCUAUUAGAUUUUGAAAAAAGAUGAAAAUGCAAUUGAGUAACAAGCUAGUUUUAAUAAAAAGAAAAUAGAAUGCUAUGUUUGGGUAUAUUUUGAAAAUAAGAUGAAAAUGCAAUUGUGUAAAAAGUUAGUUUUAAAAAAAAGUAGAUUGCAAAGUAUGGGUUGAUUUUGAAAAAAAAAAGUAUGAAAAUACAAAGGUAAAUUCAGGGUAAUUUUUAAAUAAUGCAAUUCUAUGUUUGGGUAUGAUUUGGAAAAAUAUGAAAAUUCGAUGAUACAUUAAUGUAGUUUUGGAAAAUGAAAUUAGAAUGUUUUGUUUGAUAAGAUUUGAAAAAAAAUAAGAUUAAAAUGUAAUAGUAUAUAAUGGUACUUUUAAAAAAAAUGAUAGUAGAGUGUUAAGUUUGGGUAGAAGUUGGAAAACAAAUGAAAAUGUAUUGGUAUAUAAGCAUAGUUUAAAAAAAAUGAAAGUAGAUUGUUACGUUUGGGUAGGAAAUUGAAAAUACAUAUGUAAAAGGAAUGGUAUUAAAGGGUAGUUUUUAAAAAAAUGAAAGUACAAUGCUAUGUUUAAAUAUGUUUUGAAAAAAUAUGAAAAUGCAAUAGUAUAAAAAGGUAGUAUUUCAAAAACUGAAAGUAGAAUACUAUGUUCAGGUAUAUGUUGAAACAAAGAGAAACUGCAACUACGUAUCAAGCUAUGUUUAAAAAAAAUGAAAGUAAAAUGCGAUGUUUAGGUAUAUUUUUCAAAUGAGAUGAAAAUGUAUUGGUAUAUCAAGGCAAUGUUAUAAAAACAUGAAAGUUCAAUGCUAUAUUCUGGUAGAUUUUGAAAAAAAAAAAAAAAAAGGCAAUAUCAAGGUUUAUUUAUAAAAAAUUAAUACAGAAUGUUAUGUUUUGAUAGAAUUUGAAAAAAGAUGAAUUUUGAAAAAACAGAAUGGUAUAGAAGGGUAGUUUUAGAAAGAAUGAAAAUAGAAUGUAAUAUUUGAGUAAAUUUUGAAAAAGUUGAAAACGCAAUGCUGUGUCUUAAGUUCAAAAAAACAAACGAAAAAUAGUUGUUAUUUUUGGUUAAAUUUUGAAAAAGGAUGAAAAUGAUACUAUGUAUGAAGCUUGUUUUAAUAAAAAGAGAGAAAAAUGCUAGGUUUAGAUAGAAAACUAAUUUUAAUAAAAAGAAAAUAAAAUGCUAUUUUUGUGUAGAUUUUGAAAAAGGAUAAAAAUGCAAAGUAUGGGUUGAUUUUGAAAAAAAAAAGUAUGAAAAUACAAAGGUAAUUCAGGGUAAUUUUUCAAAAUACAAAAUUCAAAUUUAUGUUUGGGUAUAAUUUGGAAAAAUAUCAAAAUUCGAUGAUACAUCAAUGUAGUUUUGGAAAAUGAAAGUAGAAUAUUUUGUUUGAUAAGAUUUGAAAAAAAAAAUAAGAUUAAAAUGUAACAUUAUAUAAUGGUACUUUUAAAAAAAAUGAUAGUAGAGUGUUAAGUUUGGGUAGAUGUUGGAAAACAAAUGAAAAUGUAUUGGUAUAUAAGUAUAGUUUUAAAAAAAAUGAAAGUAGAUUGUGAUGUUUGGGUAGAAAUUGAAAAUACAUAUGUAAAAGGAAUGGUAUUAAAGGGUAGUUUUUAAAAAAAUGAAAGUACAAUGCUAUGUUUAAAUAUGUUUUGAAAAAAUAUGAAAAUGCAAUGGUAUAAAAAGGUAGUAUUUCAAAAACUGAAAGUAGAAUACUAUGUUCAGGUAUAUGUAGAAACAUAGAGAAAAUCCAACUACGUAUCAAAGUAUGUUUAAAAAAUAUGAAAAUGUAUUGGUAUAUCAAGGCAGUGUUAAAAAACAUGAAAGUUCAAUGCUAUAUUAUGGUAGAUUUUGAAAAAAAAAAAAAAAAAAAAAAAAAAAAAAAAUUAAAAAAAAAAAAAAAAAAAAAAAAAAAAAAAAAAAACCUUAAAAUACAACGCAAAUAUCAAAGUUUAUUUAUAAAAAAUAAAUACAAAUGUUAUGUUUUGAUAGAAUUUGAAAACAGAUGAAUUUUGAAAAAAACAAAAUGGUAUAGAAGGGUAGUUCUAGAAAGAAUGAAAGUAGAAUGUAAUGUUGGGGUAAAUUUAGAAAAAGUUGAAAACGCAAUGUUAUUUUUGGAUAAAUUUUGAAAAAGGAUGAAAAUGCUACUAAAUAUGAAGCUUGUUUUAAUAAAAAGAGAUAAAAAUGCAAGGUUUAGAUAGAAAACUAAUUUUAUUAAAAAGAAAAUAGAGUGCUAUUUUUGUGUAGAUUUUGAAAAAAGAUGAAAAUGUAAUGGCGUAUCUUUAGUUUUAAAAAAACGAAAGUAGAAUCAUAUGUUUGGAUAGAUUUUGAAAAAAGAUGAAAAUGCAAUUGUGUAGAAAGCUAGUUUUAAUAAAAAGAAAAUAGAAUGCAAUGUUUGAGUAGAUUUUGAAAAAAAAAUAUAUGAAAAUGCAAGCUAGUUUUUGGGUAGAUUUAGAAAAUGGAUGAAAAUGCAAAUAUUUAACAAGCUAGUUUUAAUAAAAAGAAAGUAGAAUGCUAUUUUUAUGUAGAUUUUGAAAAAAAAAAAAUAAAAAUGCAAUUAUGUAACAAGCUAGUUUUAAUAAAUAGAAGUAAAAUGCUAUGUUUCAAUAGAUUUUGAAAAAAAAUGAUGAAAAUGCAAUGUUGUAUCUUUAGUUUUAAAAAAUUAAAGUAGAAUGCUAUUUUUGGAUAGACUUUGAAAAAUGAUGAAAGUGCAAUUGUGUAACAAGCUAGUUUUGAUAAAAAGAAAGAAAAAUGCUAUGUUUGUGUGGAUUUUAAUAAAAAGAUGAAAAUGCAAAGGUAAUUCAGUGUAAUUAUGAAAACUACAAACUACAAUUCGAUGUUUGAUUUGAAAAAUAUGAAAAUGCAAUGGUAUAUCAAUGUAGUUUUGAAAAGAAAAAUGAAAGUAAAACAAUGGUACUUUUAAAAAAUGAUAAUAGAGUGUAUUGGUAUAUAAGGGUGGUUUUAAAAUAAAUGAAAGUAGAUUGUUAUGUUUGGGUAGAAAUUGAAUAUACGGAUGAAAAGGAAAUGGUAUUAAAGUGUAGUUUUUUUAAAAAAUGAAAGUAGAAUGCUAUGUUUAAAAAAGAAAUGAAAAAAUAUGAAAAUGCAAUGGUAUAAAAGGGCAGUUUUUCAAAAACUAAAGCUAGAAUACUAUGUUCUAGUAUAUGUAGAAAAAAGGAGAAUGCUAUGUUUGGGUAAAUUUUAAAAGAAGAUGAUAAUGAAAUGAUAUAUAAGAGUAUGUUUAAAAAAAAUGAAAGUAAAAUAUGAUGUUUAGGUAUUUUUUUCAAUAAAUAUGAAAAUGCAAUGGUAAAUCAAGGUAGUGCUAAAAAACAUGAAAGUUUGAUGGUAUAUUUGGGUAGAUUUUGAGAAAAAAAAUAAAGAAACUUGAAAAUUCAAGGCAAUAUCAAGGGUUGUUUUCAAAAAAAAUAAAAACAUAAUCUUAUGUUUAGAACAAAUGAAAGUAGAAUGUAAUGUUCAGGUAAAUUUCGAAAAAAUGAAAAUGUAAAACAAACGAGUUUUAGUAAAAAUAAAAGAUGAAAAUAAAAGUAGAAAGUUAUGUUUACCUAGAUUUUGGAAAAAGAUGAAAAUGCAAUGGUGCAUCUUUAGUUUAAAAAAAAUGAAAGUGGAAUGUUAUGUUUAUGCAUAUUUUAAAAAAAAAAUGAAAAUGCAAUGGUAUAUAAGGGUGGUUUUAAUAAAAUGAAAGUUGAAUGCUAUUUGUGGGUAGACUUUUGAAAAAUAAUGAAAAUGCAAUUGUGUUUGGAAUUUAAUAAAACGAUGAAAAUGCAAAGGUAAUUCAGGGUAAUUUUUAAAAAUACAAAGUACAAUUCUAUGUUUGGGUAUGAUUUGAAAAAAUAUGAAAAUGCAAUGGUAUAUCAAUGUAGUUUUGAAAAAAACUGAAAGUAGAAUAUUUUGUUCGAGUAGAUUUGGAAAUAAGAUGAAAAUACAAUGUGAUUGCGAGGCCCCAAUUAUUGACUGGGGGGACACCAAAGGACUCUGCCCGCGUGCCUGUUGAAGAAUGAGCCGGCGACUCAUAGGCAGUGGCUCCCAUUUCGCUCGCCGCUACUACGGGAAUCGCUUUUGCUUUCUUUUCCUCUGGCUACUAAGAUGUUUCAGUUCGCCAGGUUGUCGUAAUGGUAGUUUAAAAAAAAGUAUAAUAUAGCAUUAUGUUUGGGUAGAAAUUGAAAAACAAAUGAAAAUGUAUUGGUAUUUAUGGGUAGUUUUUCAAAAAGUGAUAGGAGAAUGCUAUGUUCAAGUAGAUGUUCCAAAAAGGUGAAAAUGCAUCUAUGUAUCAAGGUAGUUUUAGAAAAAUGACAGCAGAAUGUUAUGUUUGGGUAGUUUUUUUUUUUAAAAAAGAUGAAAAUGCAAUGGUAUGUAUAUAAGGGUAGUUUAAAAAAAAUAAAAGUAAAACGCUAUGUUUGUGUAUAUUUUUCAAAAAGAGAUGAAAAUGCAAUGGUAUAUCAGGGUGGUGUUAAAAAACAAAAAAGUUUAAUGCUAUAUUUGGGUAGAUUUUGAAAAAAAAAAUAUGAAACUACAAUGCAAUAUCAGGGCUAGUUUUUUUAAAAUUAAAAAUGGAAUGUUUGUUUUAAUAAAACUUGACAAAAGAUGAAAAUAAAAUGUAAUGGUAUAUAAAGGUAGUUUUAGAAAAAAUGAAAUUAGAAUGUGAUGUUUGGGUAAAUUUUGAAAAUAGAUGAAAAUGCAAUUAUGAAUAAAGAUGUAGAAUGUUAUGUUUUGGUAAAUUUUGAAAAAAGAUUAAAAUGCAAUAAUGAAUAAAGAUAGUUUUAAAAAAAAAAAAAAAAAAAAAAAAAAACUAAAGUAGAAUGCUAUAUUUGAAUUUAUUUUUUAUAAGAGACGAAAAUACAAUAAAAUAUCAAAGUUGUUUGGAAAUACAAAAAGUUCAAGUCAGGUACAUUUUCAAAAAAACAUGAAUAUGCAAUGCUAUAAAAGGUUAGUUUUAAAACAAAAAUGAAAAUCAAAAAACAUGAAAAUGCAAGGCUAUAAAAGGGUAAUUUAAAAAAGAUAAAAAUAGGAAGCUAUGUUUGGGUAGACGUUGAAAAAUAUGAAAAUGAAAUGCUAUAUAAGGGCAGUUUUAAAAAAGAUGAAAAUUCAAUGCUAUGUUUGUGUAGAUUUAAAAAAAGAGAUGAAAAGGCAUAGGUAUAUAAGGGUAAUUUUUUUAAAAAUAAAGUACAAUGUUCUGUUUGGGUAUGAUAUGAAAAAAAAAAAUGCAAUGAUAUCAAUGUAGUUUUGAAAAAGAUGAGAGUAGAAUAUUUGGUUUGAGUAGAUUUGGAAAAAAGAUGAAAAUGCAAUGAUAUAUCUUUAGUUCUUUUUAAAUGCAAUGAUAUAAUGAUGUUAAAAAAAAAGAUAGUAGAAUGCUAUGCUUGGGACAGAAUUUGAAAAAAGAUUGAAAUGCAUUGGUGUAAAAGAGUAGUUUUUCAAAAUUUUAAAGUAGAAUGCUAUGUUUGGGUAGAUAUUGAAAAAAGAUGAAAAUGCAACUGUGUAUCAAGGUAGUUUAAAAAAUAAAUAAAUAAACAACAUUUUUUUGCUAGAAUUUUUAAAAAGAGGGAAAUACAAUGGUACAUAAGGGUAGUUUUAAAAAAAAUGAAAAUAGAAUGCCAUGUUUGGGUGAAAAUUGAAAAAAGAUGAUAUUGCAAUUAUGUAUCAAGGUAGAUUUUUUUUUUUUUUAAAAAAAAGAACAUGAAUGUUCGAUGCUAAAUUCGGGCAGAUUUUGAAAAAAAAAAAUGCAAUUCUAUAUCAUGGGUAGUUUUUUAAAAACUGAAAAUAGAAUGUUAUGUUUUGGUAGAAUUUGAAAAAACAUAGAAUUACAAGAUACCAACUUAUGAGACAUGAUAUUAAUACCCUAUCAGACAUAUUGCAUGUAUAUCAAGUAAUGAGCAGAGUAAAGUUUUUUGGUUUUGUACCUUAUUAGAGGUGAGUGACUUGGUUGGCUUUUCAGGUUUUCUUAAUUCUUUUUCUGGGUAGCAUUGUUAGCUUCUUCUUCUAGUUGUUUCUGCAUUCGGGUUCAAAAGAAUGCCAUUUUAGAAAACAUUUUUGCUGAUUAGAUUUAUCUUUUGCUGAAAAAGUUCGAAUGAAGAAAUGUGACACCAAAUUAGGAGAGGGGAGGGAGACAAACCUGUUGAAUCAGAAGAACAGGUUUGUUCAUCCUCAUAUCUGCUUCUUCUUGAUUAUGACCAAAACCCUUGACUGCUCCAGUUAUCCUAUCAGAUAGCCAGAAAAAAGGAUGCGUUACAUGAUAUUAGUUGAUACUCCUUUCACAAAUUUAUCAUAUUAAGCAGCCAAGAUUCAUACUCAUUUUACAAAUAUUGAAUCAAUCCAUGUGUUCGAUAAAUGUGGCAUAGUAUGUGAGCCUAACAAUAGCCUGUGAUAGCAAUCAAUACAUGUCUUACACUCAUAAACAAACCCUUUAUCGUUGGUAAAUAGAAAAAACCUUAAUACAAAUAACAAAACACAACCAUACAUAGUAAAUACUAAAAUACAGGAGAAGAUUGUUGACAAAAACAUCAGGGUCUGAUAAUUUUUAAAGAAAAAAAUAACCACAUCAACAAAUCUAAGUUCUAAUGCAUCUGCAGCAGUAAGUUAAACUGAAAAAAUCAGGGUUUACAGAAAAACCCGCCAACGAAAAGAUGAAGAAGAAGAAGAAACCCCAACCAGAAGCAAGAGAAUCAAAACAAAUUAAAAUAGCAAUUGACCUUCGAUUUUUUCUUAUUCAAACAUCAAUUUCAGUUUUACGAGGAAAUUACAAUAGAGAAAACUUACAACGAUCUUGAUAAUUUCUUGGACUAGAGAGUUGAGUGAGAGUCUCCUGCGAAGGUUGGAGGCGUUUAAGUCUCCGGCAGCCGGCAGCUGAAUUGCAUAGAUCGCUAUGGGUCUAGGGGGUGUUUGGGUUUGUUCAUAGAGGAAUGACAAACGAACGUAUAUAUAUUGCGUGACUACGAAGCAAUCCUUUCCAAUUCAAGGGUUUCUUAGAUCUCCGGCGAGGGAAAGUGAUGAUUUGGGGUCUGUUGGGAGCGGGAUACCUGAAGCUGAAAAAACGUAUAUAUUGCGGGAAUAUUAAGCCAAGCCUUUCGAC
rnacentral:lncRNA from 1 species